ACAAGAUGUUUGACGAUGCCGUUCUUAGUGCCUUUUUCAGGCUUGUUUUGCUUAUAUUCUUGAAGCAGCAGUACGACAACAACCUUGUUCUGCUAAUGCUUCAUCUGUUGAGGAGGAGAACGGAGGUAGAAGGUCGAAGAAGGGAGAUAGAAGACCGUGCUGUGGCGAAUGGAAACCGGAAGCCUCAUUGUCUGUCCAGUGGUAGCAAUCUGCCACCGGCCGUGGUUACCAAUUUGAACCGGAGUAUACCGAGGAGGAACUUCCGCAAAGAGAGAUGGAGAUGGAGAUGGAGGCCAGGGCUGCAGAGCCAUCUCUAAGCCCAGAGCAGCUCAGCUGAAGCUGGACCUGUCCCCAGAGUCACUGGCACUUAGUGGUGCUCCUGUGGAAAGUGCAGACAGAUGCCCACGGAGAAAAGAGUAGGUGCUGUGACAAAUGGGACCUCAUAGUCACUGCGGAGAUGGCAAAUCUGAAUGUCUCUGGAGACGUGUUUUUACGUCCCUAAAAUUAACUGGAAAAAGCGUCCCACACCCGAGGGAUUGAAUGAGCAGCUGUUGCAGAGACAAUACCAACUGGUGGCAUAUAGAGUGAUUCUGGAGUGGGCCCUCAAGUGCCAACAACUUGGACGUGGAAAUCGAGUUGCACUGCCUAGUUGUGUGGUGUGGGCCAUCAGAGACGCGUUCCCAUCCCCCGAUGGACAGUACGCAGGAUUCACAGCGAGGGAGAUAGAGUAUUUAUUCUGACCUCUGAACUGAACAACACAGUUCAUCUCAACAAAAGCUUUUAUUUCUUAUCUUUUCAGGGUGUUUUUGUAAAUAAAAUGCUCAUCACACUGUAUAAAACUAUUUUCACACUGUAUAAAAGGUAGGAAAAAAAGUGAGAACUGAUUGAAGGAGUUUGUAAUUGUACGAUGCCUUUGAACACAAUGCCAACCUUCUUUUUCUGCUUCUUUUCUCUGUCCCAUUACAUUGCAGUGGUUUCCUGCCGGUUGGCGACACCCAUGCAAAGGAGCAUUAUCGCCAUCAAGUGGGCUGGAGUGUAUAACGCUUCAGUGUCAAUCGAAUGAUCAAGCGGAAAUUUACACACGGGUGUGAGGCAGCUGAAAAAAUAGUUCCACAAUCAAGAUGAAUAGUGAAAACACGGAUGGAAACCACAGUUUGCUAUGAUUUUUAUGUCAAAACAUCAACGAAUACCACUGACCACUUGGUGAGUUUCAUGGCUUUGAAAACGAAUGUUUAGGGUGGUUUCAGGACAGAUUUACACAUGGCCAUAGACAGCAUUGUUAAGCCAGGCAGGGGAAAUCCAAAUUCUCUGAAAAGGAGCAAUCGUCAAAACUUUGGUCUUAACCACUCUAUUUCAUCCUAAACAACCCAGAAAUGGGGCUCAAAGUGCAAAAUACUGCACUUCUUCCUUAAUUAAUGUUACAAAUCAGUGUUUCUCCUAUGCUGUUCAGCUCGUCACAGAUGGGUUGCUAUCCCAGCAUCUGCUAAUGUGUGCUCACCUUACUUCUCUGAUAACUUAAGAUCCAGAUGUUCAGGAGGUUUUUGCUGGGAGCCAAAGUAUCCACAGAGGUCCUUUGCUCUUCAAAACAAAUGGGCUCCAUGAUUUAAACCAGUAAAAACAGUAAACAGUAAAAACUGCUGCAGAGACUGGAUCACUUAAUUGGCUUAAAAGGUUCAGCACUAAGCUGGUUUAAAUCUUAUUUAUCUGAUCGUUUUCAAUUUGUUGACGUUCGCAAUGAACCAUCCUUACGUACUAAAGUUUGUUUUGGAGUUCCGCAAGGUUCUGUGCUCGGACCAAUCCUGUUUACUCUAUAUAUGCUUCCUUUAGGUAACAUCAUUAGAAAUCACUCUAUAAAUUUCCAUUGUUAUGCGGAUGAUACUCAGUUGUAUUUAUCAAUGAAGCCAGAAAAAAGCAAUCAAUUAACUAAACUCCAUAAUUGCCUUAAAGACAUAAAAACUUGGAUGAGCACCAAUUUCCUAAUGUUAAAUUCAGACAAAACUGAAGUUAUUGUUCUUGGCCCCAAACAACUCAGAGACUCUUUAUCUGAUGACAUAGUUUCUCUAGAUGGCAUUGCUCUGGCCCCUGCCACUACCGUAAGAAACCUCGGAGUAACAUUUGAUCAAGAUUUGUCUUUUAAUUCUCAUUUAAAACAAACCUCACGGACUGCAUUUUUUCAUCUGCGUAAUAUUGCGAAAAUUAGGCCUAUCCUGACCCGAAAAGAUGCAGAAAAAUUGGUCCACGCUUUUGUUACCUCAAGGCUGGAUUAUUGUAACUCUCUAUUAUCAGGUAGCUCUAGUAAGUCCUUAAAAACUCUCCAGCUAAUUCAGAAUGCAGCAGCACGUGUACUAACAGGAACUAAGAAACCAGAUCAUAUUUCUCCUGUUUUAGCUUCUCUGCACUGGCUCCCUGUAAAAUCCAGAAUUGAAUUUAAAAUCCUACUGUUAACUUAUAAAGCUCUAAAUGGUCAAGCUCCGUCAUAUCUUAGAGAGCUCAUAGUGCCUUAUUAUCUCAUCAGAACACUGCGCUCUGAGAACGCAGGGUUACUCGUGGUCCCUAAAGUCUCCAAAAGUAGAUCAGGAGCCAGAGCCUUCAGCUAUCAGGCUCCUCUCCUGUGGAAUCACCUUCCUG